rnacentral:lncRNA from 12 species
AUAAGUGUUUUUCUCAACCUUUUAAAAUACUCUGCAUGAUUGGAUCUACUUGAGCUUAAGGGCUUUACUGUGUGUGGAGUUACUGGACCUCCAUAUUCCAGGAAAAUAGCAUACUUCAGUCCUCAGGGAUAGCGGGCACAGGCUGGGCUGCAGCGUUCUCACAGGAACUAAGGUGGCUUUUGGACAUUGCAUGUGUAAGAUGGAGAGGUUGUGAUGAGAGGAAUGAGUAACAGUGUCACAUCAGGGGAAAAAGAAUCAAACGUUCAAUUAAAAGGAAGCUGCUGAUGGAAAAAACUGAGGUUCUGUUAGCCAGCAUACAGAGUUUGGAUGCUAAGAAAAAUUAGAAUUCCAUGGCCAUUGGACAUACGACCUCAAAAAAGAGAAGUAGAAGAACCUGAGAAGUGGAUAUGGAGAACAAGCUUGUUAAGAAGGAUUACACAGAGGAGUCAGGAGAUGUAUGUGAAUGGAAGUCAGGAGUACUUCAUGAAUGCAAAGACCAGCUGGGAAAGCAAAAAAGCUCAAUGACCUUGCCUGAGAAGAAGCAGAUGAUGGUUAGAAGAAAGAAAAGAAGGAAAAGGGUGGAUAUUUUCCAUGGGUCUGUUUGGCCUUUGUGACACAACGUGCUGGAGAAAAGACACACUUGAAUAGUUUACCUUGAAGACUGAGUAUCCUGAUUUAGCAAAUGCAUGCACUGCAGAGCAGUAUGGGAUAAAACACCCAGUCAUUUCACUGCAGCAGUCACUUUGUUUUGUAGACAGCUCUGCAGAGCAGGUCUCAUCCCAUAUACCUUCUUCCUUUACCUCCUACCUGCCCAAGAGCCAGCACAGAUUGCCAUGGUGUUAAUUCUAGCCAACUCCUGUGGAAAAUAAGGGCAUAUGACAAGAUUGCACAUAUGUUAAUGACUCAUGCACCCUGCACUUUUUAUUUGUCAUUUUAUAUGUUGUUUGA